rnacentral:rRNA from 1 species
GGUUCAGGAUGAACGCUAGCUACAGGCUUAACACAUGCAAGUCGAGGGGCAGCGAGAGGAAAGCUUGCUUCCGUGUCGGCGACCGGCGCACGGGUGAGUAACGCGUAUCCAACCUUCCCCAUAGUAGAGGAUAGCCCGGCGAAAGUCGGAUUAAUACUCUAUGUUGUAUAAUGAGGACAUCUGAAUUAUACCAAAGAUUCAUCGCUAUGGGAUGGGGAUGCGUCUGAUUAGCUUGUCGGCGGGGUAACGGCCCACCGAGGCAACGAUCAGUAGGGGUUCUGAGAGGAAGGUCCCCCACAUUGGUACUGAGACACGGACCAAACUCCUACGGGAGGCAGCAGUGAGGAAUAUUGGUCAAUGGACGAGAGUCUGAACCAGCCAAGUAGCGUGCAGGAUGACUGCCCUAUGGGUUGUAAACUGCUUUUAUGCGAGAAUAAAGUCAGGUACGUGUACCUGUUUGUAUGCACCGCAUGAAUAAGGACCGGCUAAUUCCGUGCCAGCCGCUGC